AUGAGGCUUGUAUAGGGUAUAUUGGGAUACGGGAUAUUUGCCAUUUUAAUUUUAGGGAUACGGGAUAUUUGUCCUAAAAGUAAAUGGGAUAUGGGAUAUUGAUGCAUUUAUAAGGAUAUUGAAUUUUUAACAUGAAAAAAAAUAAGUUGAAUUUAAAAGUUAAGUACAGAAAUAUUUACAUCUCACUUGAUAAAAUUGCCCCA
rnacentral:lncRNA from 1 species